rnacentral:tRNA from 1 species
AACUUUAUAGUCAAUAAUGAUAUUAGAUUGCAAAUCUGAAGGAGUAAUAAAAUUACUAAAGUUU